rnacentral:misc_RNA from 1 species
CCGAGUUUACAACUCCCAACCCCUGUGAACAUACCACUUGUUGCCUCGGCGGAUCAGCCCGCUCCCGGUAAAACGGGACGGCCCGCCAGAGGACCCCUAAACUCUGUUUUCUAUAUGUAACUUCUGAGUAAAACCAUAAAUAAAUCA